rnacentral:pre_miRNA from 1 species
UUUCACAAGAGGUAUUGGCGUGUCUCAAUCCGAAGACAUGGUUGGAUGCUGACAUAGCCAUGGAAUUGGAUUGAGCCGCGUCAAUAUCUCUCCUUCACUC